CAGAGUAUAGCUAAACUAGAAAAGCAUUUCACUUACACCGAAAAAUUGCCCGUGCAAAUCGGACUACUCUGA
rnacentral:tRNA from 1 species